rnacentral:misc_RNA from 1 species
CGCCCAAAUACACUUUUAACAUGCAUUAAUCAUUCAUUUACCAUCAAGGAUUGUUGUUUAAAAAUUAAAUACAUUAAACCCUAACUAAAAGAGGGUUUUGAGGACUCUAACAUCUUAGGGCGGAAAAUCAAACUUUUUACUCCCUUGAAAGUCUCAAGAGUGCCAAUUGGAACUCCUCUAGUUUGUCCACCAUAAGCACCGCCAAGCUCCACCAAUGACAGCCCAAAUUCUCUCCUUUUGUGAUUAGCCAACCACUAAACUUUGGAACUUCUGCUUUUGGUGAGGUUAUAUUGGAUAUAUGCAAGUUAGAAACUCUUCCUAGCACUUUUGAUUCACAGGAAAAUAAGUUUUUCCUUAUGAAUCAAUGGAAGAAAUGAAGAGUGGGAG